CAGUGUUGCAGGCCCAUUUGCCCGGGCCCAAGAAAGAAACAAGACCUAGCAGAAAACAGAGGAGCCCUAGGCGCCGCUCCUAGGGUCUUCUGACCUUCGGUCAUUCUGCCCACCUGCUCUGCCAGCAACCACCGCCAACUGCCACCGUCACCUCCAUCCCUGUAAAUAAAUCAAAGCAAGCAAGACAGAAGCAUAGACUAGGAAUUGGCUAUAAAAGCCGAAACAAAUACAUGUAACAGGGGGCUCUUUUUUAGAAAGAAAAAAAGAUCAAAGAUAUAAAGAAAAAAUCAGUUGGAAGGUGAAAUUUUUUAGCUUUUUCGAUUUCAUUCGGCUUUGCUUUCCUUUUCUUUUAUGUUUAAUAUAAGCUUAAGGAUUAAUAAACGAAACUUACCUGAAUCGUCGCGGUUGUAGCGUCGCCGGAGUCCGAGUCGUUGAGAACGGACGAGGAAGGCGUUUCUUUUUUUUUGAGAUUCCCUCUCUCGGCCUUAGGGCUUUAAGGACUCGAUUUUUGGAAGGGUUUUCGAAACGUGAUUUUAAAAAGCUAAUUUUUCGACUUCCGACCGCCGCUUACGGCGGCGCCGGCGCCGGCGACCGGCGGCCGGUACGGUGGUUCUCGGCCGGAUCUUUGGCCGGCGUUCAGAGAGAAAAGGGGAGGGAGAGAGAGCAUUUCGGUUUUUUU
rnacentral:lncRNA from 1 species